GCCCUUGUAUUUCAAUGGUAGAAUGCGUGACUGUUAGUACCCAAUCAUAUCCCAGCAUUUCUGUUAUCAGAAAUACUAAUCCUUCUCUAGUCUAUAACAGGAGGUAUCUCGAGGCUGUGGGUUCGAGCCCCACCAAGGGCU